UACGUAGGGCGCAAGCGUUAUCCGGAAUUAUUGGGCGUAAAGAGCUCGUAGGCGGUUUGUCGCGUCUGUCGUGAAAGUCCGGGGCUCAACUCCGGAUCUGCGGUGGGUACGGGCAGACUAGAGUGAUGUAGGGGAGACUGGAAUUCCUGGUGUAGCGGUGAAAUGCGCAGAUAUCAGGAAGAACACCCGUGGCGAAAGCGGCUCUCUGGAACGGUACUGACGCUGAGACGCGAAAGCGUGGGGAGCGAACAGG
rnacentral:rRNA from 1 species